CAAUAGCGUAUAUUAAAGUUGUUGCAGUUAAAACGCUCGUAGUUGAACAUCUGCCCUUUUCCGGUUAGGUCCGCUCUGCGUGCACCUUCCGAAAUCGGCAUCCGUCUGCGUUGCUUCGCAUUGCAGACCGUUCACUUUGAGGAAAUUAGAGUGUUCAAAGCAGGCUUACGCCUUGAAUACUUCAGCAUGGAAUAACACUAUAGGACUCCUGUCCUAUUUCGUUGGUCUCGGGGCGGGAGUAAUGAUUAAGAGGAACAGUUGGGGGCAUUCGUAUUUCAUUGUCAGAGGUGAAAUUCUUGGAUUUAUGAAAGACGAACUUCUGCGAAAGCAUUUGCCAAGGAUGUUUNCAUUAA
rnacentral:rRNA from 1 species